AUUUUGUUAGUCUAAAAAAGAUAUUGAUUUGUGGAAUCAAAGAUGAUUUAUCUUCACAAAAUU
rnacentral:tRNA from 1 species